AUGCCGCAUGGCAUAAGAGUGAAAGGCGCUUUCGGGUGUCGCUGAUGGAUGGACCCGCGGUGCAUUAGCUAGUUGGUGAGGUAACGGCUCACCAAGGCCACGAUGCAUAGCCGACCUGAGAGGGUGAUCGGCCACACUGGGACUGAGACACGGCCCAGACUCCUACGGGAGGCAGCAGUAGGGAAUCUUCGGCAAUGGACGAAAGUCUGACCGAGCAACGCCGCGUGAGUGAAGAAGGUUUUCGGAUCGUAAAACUCUGUUGUUAGAGAAGAACAAGGACGUUAGUAACUGAACGUCCCCUGACGGUAUCUAACCAGAAAGCCACGGCUAACUACGUGCCAGCAGCCGCGGUAAUACGUAGGUGGCAAGCGUUGUCCGGAUUUAUUGGGC
rnacentral:rRNA from 1 species